AUUGAACGCUGGCGGCAGGCCUAAUACAUGCAAGUCGAACGAGGGGCGGGCGGGUGAGUCAUGUCUGGGAAACUGCCAGAUGGCGGGGGUAAACUACUGGAAACGGUGCCUAAUACCGCAUACCAGUGGCUGAUCGCUGGUUGGAUUAGCUAGUAGGUGGGGUAACGGCUUACCUAGGCGACGAUCCCUAGCUGGUCUGAGAGGUUGACCAGCCACACUGGAACUGAGACACGGUCCAGACUCCUACGGGAGGCAGCAGUUGGGAAUAUUGCACAAUGGGCGCAAGCCUGAUGCAGCCAUGCCGCGUGUAUGAAGAAGGCCUUCGGGUUGUAAAGCACUUUCAGCGGGGAGGCGUUACCCGCAGAGGAAGCACCGGCUAACUCCGUGCCAGCAGCCGCGGUAAUAC
rnacentral:rRNA from 1 species